rfam:Gossypium hirsutum cultivar TM-1 chromosome 16, whole genome shotgun sequence
AAACCAUUAAUUUGGAAUUUUUUAAUUAACUCCUUGAAUUGCUCCCACGCUUCAUAAUUUUUCAUCCUCAGAUUGCCGAAAGGAUGUAAUAUCGUUCCUCAGUUU